AGUCAAACUUGAAUUUGGGUGAACACUGAAUACUUCUGGUAUGGAUAUUUCAAACACCAUAUGGGACAUACUUAUACUAAAAAUUAUUAGCGAUUUGUCUGAAAUGCAAAUUUAACUCCAUGUCCU
ensembl:miRNA predicted gene, 25773